UUUUCAACUGAAAGAGCUGAGAGCCCAGCGACAAAAUACAGCUGAAGCACAGGGUGUUCUUGCUCUUGGGCCAAGCAAUGAAAAUGCCAAGCUGCAUUGGAACUGUGCGGAAAACAGGUGCUGCCAGGGUAAAAAGAAAAAAAGCUCUUAGUGGACACAGGCCCUUAUGCUACGCCAGUCAUAUUGUCUGAGAACUUAGUGGUAAUCCUUCUGAUAACUAAUAAAUAUUGUCUGGACUGAAGUGAUGGCAGACAAACAGCUGGAUAACAGUUAGCUAACUGUGAAGGGCACCGAUAGAGGUCGAGUUUUUCCCUGUAUGAAGACAAAACCAGGUCACACAGCUCUUGUGUGGCAUCAGUCACUACUUGAACAUAGGAGGUCAGAUGGUCCAUGCGCUUGACAUUUGCAGUUGGCAGACACACAUCUGCUGGUCGUUUCUUCCACUCUGAGUACUCCUGGAGCAAGGAAGAGUCAAAGAUGUGCCUGGAUGCCCUCUGCCUGUUUUAGUGCCCGUCUUUUCUCUCCUUCCAGCACCUCCGCCGCCCCUUUUCUGGCCUCCUCCACAGUCAUCAGUAGCCUGCUGAACUGCUCUUCAACAAUAACACAAACCUCCUGCACCGAAGACUAAAAGACCAAAGAGAAAAGUUCAGACAAACACAGUUACAGCAUGCCAUUGUUUCUUAAAUAAAUGUGCCAAAAAUGUGCAACAUAA